AAAUGAAACCCUCUCAGUUUCCACUCGACCUCGACGAUUUUAUUAUUUUUCUUUACUUUAUCGCAUUAGCGCGAAUGCACAAGGCCACGUGUUGCGUAAGUUAAUAAGAAGUGCAGCGUUUGCCGCGUAUGAACUUGAUAUUAAAGAUAAUUUUCUUUCCUCAUUGGCCGAGGUAGUAGUGAAAUACACGCCUUCAGCCACGUGUUCUCAGGUGGUCUCUCGGGUUCCAUUAAUUACUGAAGUAUUGCAAAAAGAAGAGACUGCCUUUCAUAAAACGCUGGAAAAAGGUUUGGUUCAUUUAAAAAAGAUCAUCAAAGAAACGUUGGAGAAAAAGUCACAUGUCCUCUCGAGCGACGCUGUUUUCCUUUUGCUGGACACUCAUGGCCUUCCGGAAGAAGUGGUUGCGGC